rnacentral:rRNA from 1 species
GAUAAACGCUGGCGGCGUGCCUAACACAUGCAAGUCGAACGAAGAGGCCCCUUCGGGGGUACUUCAGUGGCGGACGGGUGAGUAACACGUAGGUGACCUACCCCAAAGCGGGGAAUAACAGUCCGAAAGGAUUGCUAAUACCCCAUGUGGUCAAUGAGUCUAGAUGCUUGUUGACUAAAGGAGCAAUCCGUUUUGGGAGGGGCCUGCGCCCCAUCAGCUAGUUGGUAGGGUAAUGGCCUACCAAGGCUACAACGGGUAGGGGGCCUGAGAGGGUGACCCCCCACAUUGGCACUGACACACGGGCCAAACUCCUACGGGAGGCAGCAGUGAGGAAUAUUGCUCAAUGGGCGAAAGCCUGAAGCAGCAACGCCGCGUGCGCGAUGAAGGUCUUCGGAUCGUAAAGCGCUUUUGAGAGGGACGAGAUAGGACGGUACCUCUUGAAUAAGUCACGGCUAACUACGUG